rnacentral:rRNA from 1 species
UAGGGAAUCUUCCUCAAUGGGCGCAAGCCUGAUGGAGCAACACCGCGUGAGUGAAGAAGGGUUUCGGCUCGUAAAGCUCUGUUGUUAAAGAAGAACACGUAUGAGAGUAACUGUUCAUACGUUGACGGUAUUUAACCAGAAAGUCACGGCUAACUACGUGCCAG